AGAGUUUGAUUCUGGCUCAGGAUGAACGCUGGCGGCGUGCCUAACACAUGCAAGUCGAACGAAGACUGUGCGGCGGAACUCUCCGGAGGGAAGACGCGCAGGACUGAGUGGCGGACGGGUGAGUAACGCGUGGGUAACCUGCCCUGUACAGGGGGACAACAGCUGGAAACGGCUGCUAAUACCGCAUAAGCCUACAGUACCGCAUGGUACAGCAGGAAAAACUCCGGUGGUACAGGAUGGGCCCGCGUCUGAUUAGUUAGUUGGCAGGGUAACGGCCUACCAAGACAACGAUCAGUAGCCGGCUUGAGAGAGUGGACGGCCACAUUGGGACUGAGACACGGCCCAAACUCCUACGGGUAGGCAGCUGCGGGGAAUCUUCCACAAUGGAAGCAAGUGUGAUGGAGCAACGCCGGGGUGAGUGAAGAAGGGAUUUCGGCUCGUAAAGCUGAUGUUGGUAGUGAAGAAAGAUAGAGUGUAGUAACUGGCCUUUAUUUGACGGUAACUAGUUAGAAAGUCUCGGCUAAAUUCGUGCCAGCAGCCGCGGUAAUACGUAGGUGGCAAGCGUCGUCCGGAUUUAUUGGGCGUAAAGGGAGUGCAGGCGGUUCAAUAAGUCUGAUGUGAAAGCCUUCGGCUCAACCCGAGAAUUGCCUCAGAAACUGUUGACCUUGAGUGCCGAAGAGGAGAGUGGAACUCCAUGUGUAGCGGUGGAAUGGGUAGAUAUAUGGAAGAACCCCCGUGGCGAAGGCGGCUCUCUGGUCUGCAACUGACGGUGAGGCUUGAAAGCAUGGGUAGCGAACAGGAUUAGAUACCCUGGUAGUCCAUCCCGUAAACGAUGAGUGAUAAGUGUUGGGAGGUGAUCCGCCUUACAGUCCGGCACAAAAGCCAUUAAGCAUUCCGCCUGGGGAGACGGUCCCCAGAGUGGAAACUCAAAGAAAUGGCGGGGGCCCCCCCCAACCGGGGAGCCUGGUGUUUAAAUUGGAGGAAACGGGAGAACCUUACCAAUGUCUGAACACCCGGUGCAAACCCAAGAAAUGAGGUGUUCCUUUGGGGGAGCAUGGACCGGGGGGGCCAGGGCGUUGUUCAGUUGUGUUCGGGGAAUGUUGGGUAAAUUCCGGCAAGAAGGCCACCCCUAGUCCCUAGUACCCAUCUUUAAGUUGGGCACUCUGGUGAGACUGCCGGGGACAACCCGGAGGAAGGUGGGGAUGACGUCAAGUCAUCAUGCCCCUUAUGACCUGGGCUACACACGUGCUACAAUGGACGGUACAACGAGAAGCGAACCUGCGAAGGCAAGCGGAUCUCUUAAAGCCGUUCUCAGUUCGGACUGUAGGCUGCAACUCGCCUACACGAAGCUGGAAUCGCUAGUAAUCGCGGAUCAGCACGCCGCGGUGAAUACGUUCCCGGGCCUUGCACUCACCGCCCGUCA
rnacentral:rRNA from 1 species